rnacentral:misc_RNA from 1 species
GUAGGUGAACCUGCGGAAGGAUCAUUAGUGAAUUUAGCGCAGUUGCUUGCAACGCGUGACCCCACUCUAUACACUGUGCACUCAUUGGCGGAGAGAAAAAUUGGUACUUGUACCGAUUCAACUUUCUGCGGCUCACUUUAAACACCAGUCAAAGUAUGUAUACGAAAUAUCGAAAAAAGAAAAACUUUCAACAACGGAUCUCUUGGCUCUC